AUGGAGCCGGCUACCAUGGCCUGGACGCUGGCGGCGGCGGGUUUCGCGCUGGUGUACUGGUUCGUGUGGGUGAUGGGCGCCGCGGAGGUGCAGGGGAAGCGCGCCGUCGACCUCCAGAUGGGAUCCAUCGCCGACGACAAGGUCGGGGACAGGUAUUCCCAGUACUGGUCCUUCUUCCGCAGCCCCAAGGAGACGGCCGCCGCGGCCACCGCUGACAAGGUGCCGGCCUUCGUCGACACCUUCUACAACCUGGUCACCGACAUCUACGAGUGGGGCUGGGGCCAGUCGUUCCACUUCUCGCCCUCUCUGCCCGGCCGGUCGCACCGGGAGGCGACGCGGGUGCACGAGGAGCGCGUGGCCGACCUGCUCGAGGCGCGCCCCGGGAAGCGCCUGCUCGACGUCGGCUGCGGCGUCGGCGGGCCCAUGCGCGCCAUCGCGGCGCACUCCGGCUCCGACGUCGUCGGGAUUACCAUCAACGAGUACCAGGUCAACCGCGCCCGCUCGCACAACCGCAAGGCCGGCCUGGACGCGCAAUGCGAGGUGGUGUGCGGCAACUUCAUGGCCAUGCCGUUCCCGGACGCGUCCUUCGACGGCGCCUACUCCAUCGAGGCCACCUGCCACGCGCCCAGGCUGCAGGACGUCUACGGCGAGGUGUUCCGCGUGCUCAAGCCAGGGGGCCUCUACGUCUCCUACGAAUGGGUCACCACCCCGCUGUACCGCGCCGACGACCCGGAGCACGUCGAGGCCAUCCACGGCAUCGAGCGCGGCGACGCCCUCCCGGGCCUGCGCAGGCAGGACGAGAUCGCCGCCGUCGCUAAGGAGGUCGGCUUCGAGGUCGUCAAGGAGCUGGACCUGGCGCUGCCGCCGGCGCUCCCCUGGUGGACGCGGCUCAAGAUGGGGCGCCUCUCCUACUGGCGCAACUCGCUGGUGAUCCGGGCGCUCACCCUGCUGCGCGUGGCGCCCAAGGGCGUCUCCGAGGUGCACGAGAUGCUGUACGAGACGGCGCAUCACCUCACCCGCGGCGGCGAGACCGGCAUCUUUACCCCAAUGCACAUGGUGCUGCUCCGCAAGCCGGCCACCGCCGCUGAAUAG
rnacentral:rRNA from 1 species